AUAGUUGUACCAAAGCGCCAUAACCAAAAUAUAUUUAAUGACGUAAUACAUAUAUAUUUGGAUUUCUCACAUAUAUAAACUAGUGAACAGGAAUUUGUGCAGACAGUAAGAUUUCGCAUUGCUCGUAGACGUGUUUUUAAGGAGUUAUUGAAAAAUGUCUGACGAACAAGUGCAGCAAGUAGAGAUGACAGAGGAGGAACGAAAAGUUGAAGAGGCGGUUGACAGCGAAAACACAACAGAACCUUCAAAUCCGAAUUUCACGAAUGUCGUCGUUACGCCCCCAAAUUGUCCAAAGGGAUUCCAGAGGGGGGCGGACGGUGUGUGCCGAGAAGUAUUCUAAAAUCACCAUUUAAAUCCCUGUUAGUCUCUCCGUAGGCGAUGGAUCUAAUUAUCUAACUAUCUAGGAUAAUAAUCCCUUGUUUAGAUUAAUGCUUGUUGUCUGAUGAUGUUUUGAUGUUGAAAUUCAAUUCGAAUAUUGUCCUGUCUCAAUUUUUUGUAUUAAUUUUUGUAUAACUAAGAAAUUUAGUUUCUAAUAGCGAUUCAUAAUAACGAUUAGGGCUUAUAAUUAAUAUCUAUGUUAACUGUGAUCUUAUAGUAUUUAGUUUGCGAAAUUGCAUUAGCAUAAUAAUAAAGGUUUCCAAAUA